rnacentral:lncRNA from 1 species
GUCAUGAUAUAUAAAACUACAUGCAUAGAAACUAAACUUUUAAUAAUUCUUGGAUAUCUUUUUUGUUAGUAUGCAAUAAACUAAAUAAUACAUGGUGAUUAAUUAGUCUAAUUUUUGGAAAACAAUGUCAUUAGAUUCUUAACAGGAGACAAGAUUUCAAACAUUUUGGUUAGGAUUAAAUUGAAAGGGGUCCUGAUAAGUAAGUUGUAUAUUUGGAGCUAUCCCUAUUCGUCGAUAAAUAUCCUUAAUCUCAAGUGACAAUGUGCAGGAGUAGCCGUCCUCCUGAGAUCCUCGAUCAGAUCCAAAAAUGGGCUAUGUGGUGAUAGUGUCAUUACCUGUGAUACUAUUCAUCUUAAUAGUAGCCCUUGCAUUUUACCUUCUUGGCAGGGGUCGGGGUCGAAGUGAAGCAGCCAGAAUUCCCCAGUACCAUGGGCCUCCUGCCCCUCCUUUCCAACCCCAGCCUCCGCCACAGGAGAAGCCAUCACCGUCUCAUGUUUAGAAUUCCCCAGUAUCAUGAGCCUCCUGCCCCUCCUUUCCAACCUCCAGCCUCCGCCACAGGAGAAGCCAUCACCGUCUCAUGUUUAGAAUUCGGAGUUGGUGUAAAUUAAUAGUCUCUGCGUGUGCUUUUCCUAUAAGCAAUGGUUUUACUUAAUAUGGAUGCCUGAGCAGUGAGCAAAGAACUAUUCUUUAAUUUGUAACAAAAAGAAAAAAAACUUUUAUUUUAUGCUUUGUAGAAUACUAAAUAUAUUAACUAAUAUUGGUGUUUGUUUCUAUAAAUUAAAGUUGAUUUCUCAUUGUGGGGCACAGGGAUG